UACGAAGGGGGCUAGCGUUGCUCGGAAUCACUGGGCGUAAAGGGUGCGUAGGCGGGUCUUUAAGUCAGGGGUGAAAUCCUGGAGCUCAACUCCAGAACUGCCUUUGAUACUGAAGAUCUUGAGUCCGGGAGAGGUGAGUGGAACUGCGAGUGUAGAGGUGAAAUUCGUAGAUAUUCGCAAGAACACCAGUGGCGAAGGCGGCUCACUGGCCCGGUACUGACGCUGAGGUGACGAAGCGGUGGGAGCAAACAGG
rnacentral:rRNA from 1 species